AUUGAACGCUGGCGGCAGGCCUAACACAUGCAAGUCGAACGAGUGGCGGACGGGUGAGUAAUGUAUCGGCAACUGCCUGAUGGAGGGGGAUCACUACUGGGAACGGUAGCUAAUACCGCAUUCCAUCAGCUCUGUCGAGAUGGGAUUAGCUAGUUGGUGGGGUAAAGGCUCACCACGGCGACGAUCCGUAGCUGGUCUGAGAGGAUGAUCAGCCACACUGGAACUGAGACACGGUCCAGACUCCUACGGGAGGCAGCAGUGGGGAAUAUUGGACAAUGGGCGAAAGCCUGAUGCAGCCAUGCCGCGUGUGUGAAGAAGGCCUUCGGAUUGUAAAGCACUUUAAGCGGGGAGGCGUUACCCGCAGAAUAAGCACCGGCUAACUCCGUGCCAGCAGCCGCGGUAAUUC
rnacentral:rRNA from 1 species